CUGCCUUUAUUUAUGUAAUUUCUGAGUCUCCAUUUUCUUCUUUCCACUCUUGGGAAAUACUGAUGAUCAGCAUGUUGCCUGGAUAGAAACAGGUGCUGCAGGUCUGGAGGGACCAGGCUAAGGGCUGGACUAAGUCAGCGUGGAUUGGCAGGCAGAUGUCAGCUGGCAGGUGUGUUCUGCUCUCUCCUCUGCAAGACAGAGCUUUGCAGGUGCUGGAGAUUACAGAGCCAGCGAGGGAAGCAAAUGAAACGUGCGGCAUCGCAGACAGGAAGAAGCUUGGCCAGGAUGGCCCCAUUUCAGUGAACUCCUAGUCCCUGGACUAGGAAUCUCUGCCUCAGUUGCCAGUAAGACUCUGCCAGCCCAGACAGCAUGUCAGAAGUACCUAGUGGGGCUUUUUAACCCAUGACUUUAUAAAGACAGCAAAAAGGCUAAUGGGGAAUGACUGGCUCCAACUAUGAAAUAAGAAUUAGGUACAGUUUGUUACACAGUUUAACCCUAACACAUUUUUCAUGUCCCACAAGCCAUAAAUGAUAUACGGUGGAGUUCUGGAAUCCAUUUCCACGCCCUUUUAACCCCAGACUUGUCUAUAGGCAAAUGUCUCUCUCUCUGAUCCUGUUCAGAUUGCUGCUCCCUUCUCUGCCCCAGUUCUCACGUAUUUGCUGAUUUCUUCAGACUCUACCAUUUAAGUUCCAAACCAGUUUAUGUUGAUGAAGCAGAGAUACUGCUAUGUGUUCACCCAAAUUCUCAUUUUGAUGGAACACAGAGGAAAACUCAUUUCCCAGCUUCUCCGGCAGUGGGAGGCAGUGCUGGGCCCUGGCCAAUGGGAUGUGGGCAGAUGUGAUCCCUGUCACAACCAUCGCUGCAUGAGCCUCCCUAACCCUCGCCCCAUACAACCACAUCCAAUUGCAACAGAAGCGAGAAGUAAACUUUUAUUGUUUUACUUCAGUGAGAUCUGGGGAUAAUUUGUUGGAAUGCUCAGAAUAGACUUUCUCUUAGAUCAAGGUUGAGAAUACCAACUUCUAAGAAUUCUUUGUUUCUAUCAACUAUGACUCUAAGUACAGAGUUUGAGUACAUUUCCCCUUGACCAUAUAUAAAAUCCAGAAUUGCUUUCAUCCAGUUCAAUCCCUAUUAUCUGGCAUCUCUGGUCUCUGAAUGCAGUGCUAGACUUCUCUGUUCCAGUCGAUAUCACCCUGAGUUGUAUCGCAUAGGGGAGAUUUUGAAUACUUCAUAACGUUUUGGUAUGUACAAUAUGAAAAAUUCAUUUUGCUCAAAAUUCACCUCUGGUUCUUUCUUGCAUAGCAGCAUCAAAUAACAGCCCAGAAACUGCAAGCUCUCCUGGCCAGUGGGGUCACUUCAGUUCAUUUGUUUUUGAGCACUGGAGGAAAAGGACAAUAUAGAUCAGUGGAAAGAGCACAGGAUUUGGUUGUUGAUCUGGAUUUUAAUUCAGGUACUUUUAUGAACUUGCUGGGUGACUUUGGACAAGUUGCAACUUGCCUUGGCCUCUGUUCUUCUGUUUCGUCACCUAUGAUACGCUGUUUUGAAAAAUAAACAUUAUCUUCUUAGGUUUA